UGGGGAAUUUUGGACAAUGGGCGAAAGCCUGAUCCAGCAAUGCCGCGUGUGUGAAGAAGGCCUUCGGGUUGUAAAGCACUUUUGUCCGGAAAGAAAUCCUUGGCUCUAAUACAGUCGGGGGAUGACGGUACCGGAAGAAUAAGCACCGGCUAACUACGUGCCAGCAGCCGCGGUAAUACGUAGGGUGCAAGCGUUAAUCGGAAUUACUGGGCGUAAAGCGUGCGCAGGCGGUUUGCUAAGACCGAUGUGAAAUCCCCGGGCUCAACCUGGGAACUGCAUUGGUGACUGGCAGGCUAGAGUAUGGCAGAGGGGGGUAGAAUUCCACGUGUAGCAGUGAAAUGCGUAGAGAUGUGGAGGAAUACCGAUGGCGAAGGCAGCCCCCUGGGCCAAUACUGACGCUCAUGCACGAAAGCGUGGGGAGCAAACAGGAUUAGAUACCCUGGUAGUCCACGCCCUAAACGAUGUUAACUAGUUGUUGGGGAUUCAUUUCCUUAGUAACGUAGCUAACGCGUGAAGUUGACCGCCUGGGGAGUACGGUCGCAAGAUUAAAACUCAAAGGAAUUGACGGAGUCAUAGCUGUUUCCU
rnacentral:rRNA from 1 species